rnacentral:rRNA from 1 species
CCUACGGGUGGCAGCAGUGGGGAAUAUUGCACAAUGGGGGAAACCCUGAUGCAGCGACGCCGCGUGAGUGAAGAAGUAUUUCGGUAUGUAACGCUCUAUCAGCAGGGAAGAAAAUGACGGUACCUGCUUAAGAAGCCCCGGCUAACUACGUGCCAGCAGCCGCGGUAAUACGUAGGGGGCAAGCGUUCUACGGAUUUACUUGGUGUAAAGGGAGCAUAGACGGCAGCGCAAAUCUGAAGUGAAAUGCCGGGGCUUAACCCCGGAACUGCUUUGGAAACUGUGCAGCUAGAGUGCAGGAGAGGGAAGUGGAACUCCUAGUGUAGCGGUGAAAUGCGUAGAUAUGAGGAGGAACACCAGUGGCGAAGGCGGCUUACUGGACUGUAACUGACGUUGAGGCUCGAAAGCGUGGGGAGCAAACAGGAUUAGAUACCCUUGUAGUC